rnacentral:rRNA from 1 species
GGGUUGUGAGGUUAAGCGACUAAGCGUACACGGUGGAUGCCCUGGCAGUCAGAGGCGAUGAAGGACGUGCUAAUCUGCGAUAAGCGCCGGUAAGGUGAUAUGAACCGUUAUAACCGGCGAUUUCCGAAUGGGGAAACCCAGUGUGACUCGUCACACUAUCAUUAACUGAAUCCAUAGGUUAAUGAGGCGAACCGGGGGAACUGAAACAUCUAAGUACCCCGAGGAAAAGAAAUCAACCGAGAUUCCCCCAGUAGCGGCGAGCGAACGGGGAUGAGCCCAGAGCCUGAAUCAGCAUGUGUGUUAGUGGAAGCGUCUGGAAAGGCGCGCGAUACAGGGUGACAGCCCCGUACACAAAAGCGCAUGUGCUGUGAGCUCGAUGAGUAGGGCGGGACACGUGGUAUCCUGUCUGAAUAUGGGGGGACCAUCCUCCAAGGCUAAAUACUCCUGACUGACCGAUAGUGAACCAGUACCGUGAGGGAAAGGCGAAAAGAACCCCGGCGAGGGGAGUGAAAAAGAACCUGAAACCGUGUACGUACAAGCAGUGGGAGCCCCACCACUAAGCCAGUGGUGAACUCCACAUACGCAUCCUUUGCUGAGGAUGCGGUUAACGGAGCGAAAGCGACGUUCAACCGCAAAAGAAGCAGAGGGGGCUUAGUGGUGG